rnacentral:lncRNA from 1 species
UCGGGAUGCUCCGUUAUCAGCCAGCUUAGCACAACCGAAACGAUCGCUCUGUUAUUAACAACACGGAUAGCUCUGCCGAAGCAGAGCCUCACAACAUUCCACGACACUCAAAAAUUGCCACGACAUUCGUGCUUGUUCUGCUUUUCACCUGCAAUGGUGGAAGGCUCCACCAAAGGGAAGCCUCCGAAAACCCCACGGCACUCAGAAACCCCACGACACUCGUGCUUUUGUUUCUACCCAGCAAUGGCAUAGCUCUGUGGAAGGGAAAUCUCAAUCCCACGACACUCGUGCUCAUCCUAUAGCUCGGUCUGAGUGGAGAUUCCAGACGUUCUGUGACACUCGUGCUUGUUCUGCUAUUCACCAGCAGUGAGUAGCUCCACUAAGGGGAAGCCUCCAAAAUUCCAUGACACUCAAAAGAUGCCACGACAUCCGUGCUUGUUCUGCUUCUCACCUGCAAUGGUGAAAGGCUCCACUGAAGGGAAGCCUCUGAAAACUCCACGGCAC